GCCUGACGCAGCCAUGCCGCGUGAAUGAUGAAGGUCUUAGGAUUGUAAAAUUCUUUCACCGGGGACGAUAAUGACGGUACCCGGAGAAGAAGCCCCGGCUAACUUCGUGCCAGCAGCCGCGGUAAUACGAAGGGGGCUAGCGUUGCUCGGAAUUACUGGGCGUAAAGGGCGCGUAGGCGGAUCGUUAAGUCAGAGGUGAAAUCCCAGGGCUCAACCCUGGAACUGCCUUUGAUACUGGCGAUCUUGAGUAUGAGAGAGGUAUGUGGAACUCCGAGUGUAGAGGUGAAAUUCGUAGAUAUUCGGAAGAACACCAGUGGCGAAGGCGACAUACUGGCUCAUUACUGACGCUGAGGCGCGAAAGCGUGGGGAGCAAACAGGAUUAGAUACCCUGGUAGUCCACGCCGUAAACGAUGAUUGCUANUUGUCNGGCUGCAUGCAGUUCGGUGACGCAANCUAACGCAUUAAGCCAAUCCGCCUGGGGAANUACGGUCGCCNNGAUUAAAACUCAAAAGGAAUUGACGGGGGCCCCGC
rnacentral:rRNA from 1 species